UCGAGGAUCUUUGGCAAUGGGCGCAAGCCUGACCAAGCGACGCCGCGUGUGCGAUGAAGGCCUUCGGGUUGUAAAGCACUGUCGAGGGGGAGGAAGCCGCAAGGUUGACCUAUCCCUGGAGGAAGGACGGGCUAAGUUCGUGCCAGCAGCCGCGGUAAGACGAACCGUCCAAACGUUGUUCGGAAUCACUGGGCUUAAAGGGCGCGUAGGCGGGCUACCAAGUCCGGGGUGAAAUCUUUCGGCUCAACCGGAAAACUGCCUUGGAUACUGGUAGUCUCGAGGGAGGUAGGGGUCUGUGGAACUGAUGGUGGAGCGGUGAAAUGCGUUGAUAUCAUCAGGAACGCCGGUGGCGAAAGCGACGGACUGGACCUUCACUGACGCUGAGGCGCGAAAGCUAGGGGAGCAAACGGGAUUAGAUACCCCCGUAGUCC
rnacentral:rRNA from 1 species